CAUGGAGGGUGAGAAUCCCGUCCGGUUGAUCAUUGCGUUUUACGAUACGCUUUCUAAGAGUCAAGUUGUUUGGGAUUGCAGCUUAAAAUGGGAGGUAAAUUUCUCCUAAAGCUAAAUACAGGCGAGAGACCGAUAGCGAACAAGUACCGUGAGGGAAAGAUGAAAAGAACUUUGAAAAGAGAGUUAAACAGUACGUGAAAUUGUUGAAAGGGAAACGAUUGAAGCCAGUCGUACCUUCGGGUAAUCAGCCUUUCGGGUGCGAUUCUGUGGAGUGUGAGGAGCUUAACACCUUCAUGCUUUGCAUAUUUGUGCUCUUGGGUGUACUUGCCCGUGUGGUUGGUUAACAUCAAUUUUGGUUAUCAUAAAAUGAUUGGAGGAAUGUAGCUUCGAUCUCGUAUUGAAGUGUUAUAGCCUUCGGUAGAUGUGAUGAACGAGAUUGAGGAUUGCAACGGAUACCCUUUGGGGCUACCUGUCUGGUCUCUGAUCGUUGCUCUGGUGCCGAAAGCUUGCUUACGGUUAUCAAAGUCGAUGGUCAAUAGGUUAGAACGGGUUAAAUUCGUUAAGGAUGUUGACGUAAUGG
rnacentral:rRNA from 1 species